AACGAACGCUGGCGGCGUGCCUAACACAUGCAAGUCGAACGAGAAAGGGGCUUCGGCUCCGAGUAAAGUGGCGCACGGGCGAGUAACACGUGGGUAACCUGCCUCUAAGAUUGGGAUAACUCGUCGAAAGAUGAGCUAAUACCGAAUAAGACCACAGUUCCCGCGGGAACAGGGGUCAAAGGUAGCCUCUGUUUGCAAGCUAUCACUUAGAGAUGGGCCUGCGCACCAUUAGCUAGUUGGUAGGGUAACGGCCUACCAAGGGAAAGAUGGUUAGCUGGUCUGAGAGGAUGAUCAGCCACACUGGAACUGAGACACGGUCCAGACUCCUACGGGAGGCAGCAGUGGGGAAUAUUGCGCAAUGGGCGAAAGCUUGACGCAGCAACGCCGCGUGAGUGAUGAAGGCCUUCGGGUCGUAAAGCUCUGUCGGGAGGAACGAAUGCUCCCAAGGUUAACAGCCUCGGGAGGUGACGGUACCUUCAAAGGAAGCACCGGCUAACUCUGUGCCAGCCGCCGCGGUAACAC
rnacentral:rRNA from 1 species